rnacentral:rRNA from 1 species
CGGACGGGUGAGUAACGCGUGGGUAACCUGCCUUGUACUGGGGGACAACAGUUAGAAAUGACUGCUAAUACCGCAUAAGCGCACAGUAUCGCAUGAUACAGUGUGAAAAACUCCGGUGGUACAAGAUGGACCCGCGUCUGAUUAGCUAGUUGGCAGGGCAACGGCCUACCAAGGCGACGAUCAGUAGCCGACCUGAGAGGGUGACCGGCCACAUUGGGACUGAGACACGGCCCAAACUCCUACGGGAGGCAGCAUG